UUAAGCAGCUCCUAAAUGCAGUGAUCCUGACUGGAUGGUCCUGGGGCGUCUAUCAUGCUCAAGCUCUGGUAAGUAGAUCCACACCUGUAUGAGAAAAAUAAGACCAAAUAGCGUUAAAGACUUAGAAUAUUAUGUGAGACAAUAACACUCCCUAUUGGACACAUGCAAGACAUGAUUGUGGCUAUUUUUUUUAAAUUAACCUACGUGGCUUAUUAGCGCAAACUCAUCAAAGGUGACCUCAUAGACAUAGAAAUACCUCACUAAAGCUUAUGUGGAUUCAAACUCCCAAUAAUCAUGACCCAAAAUUAAUUUGCAAAAAUAACCCAUUUUUCAAGAAUGGUCGGUGUGGCCAGAAGUGGAUAAAGAUGCAAACUCAAAAAAGGACAGACCAUAAAGUAAUAUGGCACCUAGUUGUGGACUCAAGAUUCUAAGACAUGGGUCAUUGACCACUUUUGCGCAAAUGACCCCAUUUUUGCGAGAAUGGCCGAUGUGGCCAAAAGUAGCUAGACAUGCAAGAUUUGGAUAAGACCCUGCGAAGCCAAGAACCUAAGACUCACUAGGAAGACCGGAUCCUAUGUGGACUACCUACGUAUCCCACCCUGAAAGACGAGAAUCAGGUAUGCGUAGUUUGGAAGACUGGAUAUGGGAGAGAAUUUUAAAAAAAUACUGAUUUGAAGAAAACAUAUUUUGUCUUUUUUUUUUGAAAAAUGAUGAAACAUGUAAAAAAAAAUUGGAUUUCCUUUUUCCUUUUUUUUGAUUUUCAGAAAAUGAUGGGAAAGUGCAAAAUCUUUUUUUCUUGGAUUUUUCAUUUUUUUUCUUUUUCUUAAAAAAAUGUGAAAGAAAAACAUAACUGGGCCCUACUUGCUUUAUUUUCACACUUCACCCACUUUCUCUCUCAUUUACCCUCAACCAUCAUUGGUCCGCCAAAUGACCCUUUUUGCCUUUAAAGAAUGGAACAUGUAGCACAUAAGAUGCAUCAGGAUGAUCUUUUAUUUUUGGGUACACCUGUCCUAGACGGACCCAACCCCUGUGUUGAGUCCCCAAAGUCAAAUGCACAUGAUGCAAACAACGUUCCUACUAGGGAUUUGGCAUGAGGUUAUGUUAUUCUAGGUUUAAACCUGGAGUUGUGUUCUAGACCUGGCUUACCCGAGCGGAUAGCUCAGCCGAGGUGGGGGCAACGUAACGGGAGCAUGAAAGUCUACCCGACCUUAUUGAUGACCCAAGCCUCGUUCUAUUUGGUAUGACUUCUAACAAAAAAAGUGGGCCACGCGUAAGUGUGCACCAUAUUUUUAGAAGACUCAGAAGGGAGGCGUAAGAAGACAGUUUAAUAUAAUUCAAAUAAUAUUAAAACGGUAAAUAAACAACAAUUAGCACAUUAGGUCCACAAAAUACAGUAAUAUCAACAAUAAAUAAAGCCAAGUAACAAUCAUAUUAAAAGCUCGAAUUUUUGAACCCUAAACCAGAGAUUCUGGGUUCUUUUCCCCAGCAGAAUCGCCAGAGUUGUCACACCUCUUUUUUUCCAAGGGGGUUAUGGAGUUUUUCCAAUUAAAGUGACAAUAAUAGAAAUGAGAUUAUUUAUUUAAGUUCAGAGUUGCCACUUGGGAUAAUUUAUGGUGUCUCAAAUCACCAGUUUAAAAUACCGAAUCGAGAAAGUUUGACUCUGUUUUACAGUCCGCAAAACACAGAAAUUCGGGUAAGGAAUUCUGUUAACCUGGGAGAAGGUGUUAGGCAUUUUCGAGUUCCGUGGUUUUAGCACGAUCGCUUUAAUCAAACCUGGCUUAAUUAAAUUGUCUAAUUAUUUAUUUUAAGACCUAUGUGCAUUUACCCCUUUUACCGCUUUUAAUUUUUUGAUUAUUCGUAAAUUUGGAAUUAUCUUAAAAUGAGUCAUGCGUACGUAUACUCAUUUCGUUUGGCGCAUCAAGAAUCAUGUCACGCGUACGUGUCCACAAUUCCUAACACUUAGUUUAUUCAAGAAAAGGUUUGGUCAAAGUUGCGCGAAUGCAUACCUCGAUUUAAUUUGGGAAUCGUAAUUAUAUCACGCGAACGUGUACACAAUCACGAUAGUUGAUUAAUUAAGGGCAAGCCUAAAGCACUCUAAAGCAUAUUGCUACGGGAAUAGGCUUCAAAUUCCAACUAACUUUAGCGAACAUGAAACACUAUGAUAGGCAUUGUUACACACAAUUUCUAAAAUACUCCAUGAAAGCUUAAUUAGUGAUAUUUCUUAUAGGAAACCUACAAACUAGGAAUCUUCCCACAUACAUUUCAUGUUUAAACAAAGAUAGAGGGUAAAUGCCAUUAUUCUCAUCAACCAAACACUUAGCAGCUAAAUGCAAAUUUUAACAAAAGGCAUGGAUCCAAAUAGUAAUAAAUCAACUAAGACUUCAAGAGCAAUACAUUACUAUCUCAAAUCAUGGAAGAUAAAACAUAAGUUAACAAGACAUUAAAAUGAUACUAAAUCAAAGAGAAAGUCGGUACCAUACUUAUCACCGAAGAGCACAAAUGAACGAAAGAUGAGAAAGAACCGGACCUCACGAGAAGCUUUCUUCAAAAUUAGAUAAGAUAAUUUGAGGGAGUACAAUUGAAUCCGACUAUUUAAACCCAAACAUUGAGCAAAUCAUAACAACGAAUGAACCGCAAAUAUCAACCGGAGAGCUCAAACCCGAACACCUCAAACUCUGUCAAACUCAAAUUCAUUUUGAAGGAAAAAUUCGAGAAGAGGAGAAACUGAAAUCUUUUUUGAGAAGAAACUUGCAAAAUUUAUUAAAAUAUAUAUUGUAACUUCCCAAUCUACUAUAACUCCAAAAAUGAAACUAUGAUUAAGUACCCUAUUGACUUCAACAUCAACGAUACCUCAUGAAACCUAUAUCGUCUCUCUCUAUUUCUAUUGCAGGCAGCCGCUAGAUCCUCCAAUUCUGGAGAUUGUCGAUCUCCAUGAUUAGCGCGGGAUAAGGUGCAAGAACAUGAGGGUUUUUGAGAGGCGUUGCGGCGACCAGAGGGAAAGGGUGGGGGGUGCUACCGGCAUUCACGACUGUCACCGACAUCUAUGGUUGUUGCCGGCAUCCAUGGCUAUUUGGAAACGGAUGCUAUUCUCUGAAAGUGUGGAAUGGUCGUUUGGUUUUAAGAGGAGAUUGGGGGGUCUGGUUCAUCGACUGGCUGGUGGCAAAUGGGAGGUGUUGGGGUCGAUGGGGUGUCGAUGGAUCUCUCUUGUGUCUUAGAGUUUGUUGAGUGAAGAAGAUGAUGGGGUCCUUGAGAGGGUCACGGUUGUGUUUGUGUGUUCAACAGCUGGAGAUGCGGCUGCUGCUAUCUUUUUUUCCGGUGAGUUUGGGUGACGUAGACGGUGGAGCUGUCGCUGGGCUGAAGCUUAAGCCAUGAAAGGGAGAGAGUGUGAUUGUUGUAGUAGUGACGGCUUGAGCUUUUUUGUCUUCUAGGGUUAAGUCUUCUUUUUGGUUGAAGAAGAAGAUCUGAUGAUCUCUUGGGAGCUAGGGUUUUUCUUAGGUUGGAGAUUGUUAUUAGGGUGGGCUUGCUGAUUAUGGGCUUAGGAAUUAUGGGCUAGGUCCGAAAAUUGGGCCUAAAAAUGGGUUGUUUGAGCCCAAAUUUUA
rnacentral:lncRNA from 1 species